AUUGCCUCAGUAACGGCGAGUGAAGCGGCAACAGCUCAAAUUUGAAAUCUGGCCGCAAGGUCCGAGUUGUAAUUUGUAGAGGAUGCUUUUGGCGAGGUGCCUUCCGAGUUCCCUGGAACGGGACGCCAUAGAGGGUGAGAGCCCCGUACGGUAGGACCACCAAGCCUCUGUAAAGCUCCUUCGACGAGUCGAGUAGUUUGGGAAUGCUGCUCUAAAUGGGAGGUGUACGUCUUCUAAAGCUAAAUACCGGCCAGAGACCGAUAGCGCACAAGUAGAGUGAUCGAAAGAUGAAAAGCACUUUGAAAAGAGGGUUAAAAAGUACGUGAAAUUGUUGAAAGGGAAGCAUUCAUGACCAGACUUGGGCUUGGUUGAACAUCCGGCGUUCUCGCCGGUGCACUCUGCCAGUCCAGGCCAGCAUCAGUUUGCCCCGGGGGAUAAAGGCGGCGGGAAUGUGGCUCCCUUCGGGGAGUGUUAUAGCCCGUCGUGUAAUGCCCUGGGGCGGACUGAGGAACGCGCUUCGGCACGGAUGCUGGCGUAAUGGUCAUCAAUGACCCGUCUUGAAACACGGACCCCUGUGUGAAAUUG
rnacentral:rRNA from 2 species